rnacentral:rRNA from 1 species
GCGCCGGUCUAAGUCCCUUGGAACGGGGCGUCAUAGAGGGUGAGAAUCCCGUAUGUGACCGGUGACCGAGCCCAUGUGAAACCCCUUCGACGAGUCGAGUUGUUUGGGAAUGCAGCUCAAAACGGGUGGUAAAUUUCAUCUAAAGCUAAAUACCGGCCAGAGACCGAUAGCGCACAAGUAGAGUGAUCGAAAGAUGAAAAGCACUUUGGAAAGAGAGUCAAAAAGUACGUGAAAUUGUUGAAAGGGAAGCGCUUGCAACCAGACCUGCCCGCGGGUGAUCAGCCGUCCCUCUGGGCGGUGCACUCGCCCGCGAUCAGGCCAGCAUCGGUUCGGGCGGCCGGAUAAAGGCCUUGGGAACGUGGCUCCCCUCGGGGAGCGUUAUAGCCCUCGGUGCAAUGCGGCCUGCCCGGACCGAGGACCGCGCUUCGGCUAGGAUGCUGGCGUAAUGGUUGCAAGCGGCCCGUCUUGAAACACGGACCAAGGAGUCGACCAACUAUGCGAGUGUUUGGGUGUCAAAACCCAGACGCGCAAUGAAAGUGAACGGAGGUGGGAACCCCUUCGCGGGGCGCACCAUCGACCGAUCCAGAUGUCUUCGGAUGGAUUUGAGUACGAGCAUAGCCGGUCGGACCCGAAAGAUGGUGAACUAUGCCUGGAUAGGGUGAAGCCAGAGGAAACUCUGGUGGAGGCUCGCAGCGGUUCUGACGUGCAAAUCGAUCGUCAAAUUUGGGCAUAGGGGCGAAAGACCAAUCGAACCAUC